AGAACAUCACCAGGCACUUAAUGCAGUGCAUGCUAACCAGGCCCAGCUCUCAACUUUUUCAGAUCAGUACAGAUUCUCUUGCCUGUGCAUCUUGCAAUGUGAAAACUUUGCUCUCUGGUGUUUGA